rnacentral:rRNA from 1 species
AUUGAACGCUGGCGGCAGGCCUAACACAUGCAAGUCGAGCGGAUGAAGGGAGCUUGCUCCUGGAUUCAGCGGCGGACGGGUGGGUAAUGCCUAGGAAUCUGCCUGGUAGUGGGGGAUAACGUCCGGAAACGGGCGCUAAUACCGCAUACGUCCUGAGGGAGAAAGUGGGGGACCUUCGGACCUCACGCUAUCAGAUGAGCCUAGGUCGGAUUAGCUAGUUGGUGGGGUAAAGGCCUACCAAGGCGACGAUCCGUAACUGGUCUGAGAGGAUGAUCAGUCACACUGGAACUGAGACACGGUCCAGACUCCUACGGGAGGCAGCAGUGGGGAAUAUUGGACAAUGGGCGAAAGCCUGAUCCAGCCAUGCCGCGUGUGUGAAGAAGGUCUUCGGAUUGUAAAGCACUUUAAGUUGGGAGGAAGGGCAGUAAGUUAAUACCUUGCUGUUUUGACGUUACCAACAGAAUAAGCACCGGCUAACUUCGUG